CAGUAGGGAGGAAGGUAGUGUAGUUAACACCUGCAUUAUUUGACGUUACCUACAGAAGAAGCACCGGCUAACUCCGUGCCAGCAGCCGCGGUAAUACGGAGGGUGCGAGCGUUAAUCGGAAUUACUGGGCGUAAAGCGCAUGCAGGCGGCCUGUUAAGUCAGAUGUGAAAGCCCGGGGCGUUAACCUCGGAAUUGCAUUUGUAAACUGGCAGGCUAGAGUCUUGUAGAGGGGGGUAGGGAAUUUCAGGUGUAGCGGUGAAAUGCGUAGAGAUCUGAAGGAAUACCAGUGGCGAAGGCGGCCCCCCUCGGACAAAGACUGACGCUCAGAUGCGAAAGCGUGGGGAGCAAACAGGAUUAGAUACCCUGGUAG
rnacentral:rRNA from 1 species